rnacentral:rRNA from 1 species
AUGGACCCCUGCAACUCCUCCGUGGGCACCAUCGCGUACAUGAGCCCCGAGCGCAUCAACACCGACCUCAACGACGGCAACUACAACGGCUACGCCGGCGACAUCUGGAGCUUCGGCCUCAGCAUCCUCGAGUUCUACCUGGGCCGCUUCCCGCUCGGGGAGAACCUGGGGAAGCAGGGCGACUGGGCGGCCCUCAUGUGCGCCAUCUGCUACUCCGAGUCGCCGGCGGCGCCGCCCACCGCGUCCCCGGAGCUGCGGAGCUUCAUCAGCUGCUGCCUCCAGAAAAACCCGGCGAAGCGGCCGUCCGCGGCGCAGCUGCUGCAGCACCGGUUCAUCGCCUCGCCGCCGCCGCAGCAGCCGCAGGCCCUCGCCGCCCCGCCGUGCUGA